rnacentral:rRNA from 1 species
AGAGUUUGAUCCUGGCUCAGAUUGAACGCUGGCGGCAUGCUUUACACAUGCAAGUCGAACGGCAGCACGGGCUUCGGCCUGGUGGCGAGUGGCGAACGGGUGAGUAAUGCGUCGGAACGCGCCGAGUAGUGGGGGAUAACGCAGCGAAAGCUGUGCCAAUACCGCAUACGUACUGAGGUAGAAAGUGGGGGACCUUCGGGCCUCACGCUAUUCGAGCGGCCGACGUCUGAUUAGCUAGUUGGUGAGGUAAAGGCUCACCAAGGCGACGAUCAGUAGCGGGUCUGAGAGGAUGAUCCGCCACACUGGGACUGAGACACGGCCCAGACUCCUACGGGAGGCAGCAGUGGGGAAUUUUGGACAAUGGGCGCAAGCCUGAUCCAGCCAUGCCGCGUGUCUGAAGAAGGCCUUCGGGUUGUAAAG